rnacentral:rRNA from 1 species
GACGAACGCUGGCGGCGUGCUUAACACAUGCAAGUCGAACGGAAAGGCCCUGCUUUUGUGGGGUGCUCGAGUGGCGAACGGGUGAGUAACACGUGAGUAACCUGCCCUUGACUUUGGGAUAACUUCAGGAAACUGGGGCUAAUACCGGAUAGGAGCUCCUGCUGCAUGGUGGGGGUUGGAAAGUUUCGGCGGUUGGGGAUGGACUCGCGGCUUAUCAGCUUGUUGGUGGGGUAGUGGCUUACCAAGGCUUUGACGGGUAGCCGGCCUGGGAGGGUGACCGGCCACAUUGGGACUGAGAUACGGCCCAGACUCCUACGGGAGGCAGCAGUGGGGAAUAUUGCACAAUGGGCGGAAGCCUGAUGCAGCAACGCCGCGUGCGGGAUGACGGCCUUCGGGUGGUAAACCGCUUUCGCCUGUGACGAAGCGUGAGUGACGGUAAUGGGUAAAGAAGCACCGGCUAACUACGU